rnacentral:lncRNA from 1 species
CUUGGUCUUUUUGCCUUUUCUAGAGCCACUUCCUGCGGCAUAUGGAGGUUCCCAGGCUAGGGGUUUAAUUGGAGCUGUAGCCACCAGCCUACACCACAGCCACAGAAAUGUGGGAUCCGAGCCGUGUCUGUGACCUACACCACAGCUCACGGCAACGCUGGGUCCUUAACCCACUGAGCAAGGCCAGGGAUCAAACCCGCAACCUCAUGGUUCCUAGUCAGAUUCGUUAACCACUGCACCACGACGGGAACUCCAAGAAGUGUUAUUUAAUUUCUAACUAUUAGGGAUUUUCCCAGAUGUCUUUUAUUGAUUUAAUUCUAUUGUGAUCAGAGAAUGGAUUUUUUACACUUUCAUUUCCUCUAAAAUUAUUGACUUAUUUUAUUAUGCAACAUAUCUGUGGUGAAUGUUGCAUGUGCACUUGAGAAGACUGUGUAUGCAGUUAUUGGAAGAUGAAGUAUUUCAUAAAUGCCAGGUAAGCCAAGGUGGUUGACAGUGUUUUUCAGGUCAUCUACAGCUUUCUGAUUGUUCUAUCAACGUGCUCUAUCAAUUACUGAGAAAGGAGUAUUGAAACAAGCAGAUAUAACCAUGGAUUUUCUAUUUCACUUUCAGUUGUUAGUUUUUGCUUUAGGUAUUCUGCAGCACUGUUAUUCAGUUAUUUAGCACUGUAACUGUGCAGCAUAUUUAUAGUGCUACAUACUUAGUGCUACAAACUGCUAGCAAAUAACAGUGCUACACUAUUAUUUACCUACAUUUUCACAAUUACUUCUUUUGUCUUCUUGAUAAAUUUACUCCUUUAUCAUUAUGAAUUCUUCUUCCUGUCAAAGUUCUUGAAGUUUAUUUUACCCUUUAUUGACAUAAUCACUCCUAGUUUGUUGUGAUUCAUUUUUGUUUUGUGUCUUUUUGCCUUUUCUAGGGCUGCUCCCACAGCAUAUGGAGGUUCCCAGGCUAGGGGUCUAAUUGGAGCUAUAGCCGCCAGCCUACAUCACAGCCACAGCCACGGCAAUGCGGGAUUCGAGCUGCGUCUGCAACCUACACCACAGCUCAUGGCAAUGCCGGAUCCGUAACCCACUGAGCAAGGCCAGAGAUUGAACCCGCAACAUCAUGGUUCCUAGUCAGAUUCAUUAACCACUGAGCUACGACGGGAACUCCUUGUGAUUCAUUUUUGGAUGGUAUAUUUUUUCCACCCUUUCACUUUAACUCUAUUUUACAGUUUUUUUUCCCCCUGUAGAUAGCAUAUAACAGUUCUUGUCUAUUCAGAAUGAUAAUCUCUGUCCUUUGAUUAGAAUGUUUAGACCAUUUAUAUUUAAUGUAACUAUUGAUACAUUGGGGUUUAAGUCUACUGUCUUGCUUUUUUAUUUGCCCCAUCUGUCCUUUGUUUACUCGUUCUUCACUCAAUCAAUUCUUUUGAAUAUUUUUACAGUAUUCCAUCUCCAUCUGUAAAAAUUGUUUUCAGUGGUUUCUCUAGGUUUACAAUGGGUAUCUUCACAGUCUGUCUUACAGAUAUCAUCCUGGUUUUCUUCCCAACUCACUGGCAAUUCCUCAGUCUCCUUUUCUGGUUCUUCCUUUUCUUCCCUAACUGAAAUGUUAUAGUGAGCCUGGCAAUCAGGCUCCAGUUCUCUCUCCAGGUCAUCUCGUCUAACCAUAUGGUUUUAAAUCCCAUUUAUAUUCAGUCUUAACGUUUCCCUUGAGCUCUAGAUAGCUAACUGCUUAAAUAACACUACUCACAGAUGUCCAAAAGACACCUCAAACUCAGCACAUUUACAAUGGAGCUCUUGAUUUUUCCCUCUCGCAUGUCCCUGCCAUUAUCCCUGCCUGGUCUGCCAUAUGUCAUUUAAUCAUAUCAAUCGGUCACAACAAAAACCUAGCAGUUAUCUGUGAAUCUUCUAUUAUUUUCAUCUCCUUUACUAAAUUCAUCAGGAAAUCCAAUAGAUUCUACUCCCAAUAUAACUCUUCAUUACUUCUGUUGCUACCAUCCUAGUCCAAUUAAUCCAUGACCAUCUCUCACUUGCACUCCCAAAAGUAGUUUCCUGAUUUAUUUUUAACUUUUUAAUUAUUUAAUGAAUUUUAUUACAUUUAUAGGUGUACAACAAUCAUCACAAACGAAUUUUAAGGCAUUUUCAUCCCAAACCCUCAGUGCAUCCACCUCUUUCCCCCCCCGCCCCGCAACCUGUCUCGUUUGGAAACCAUAAGUUUUUCAAAGUCUGUGAGUCAGUAUCUGUUUUGCAAAGAAGUUCAUUGUGUCCUUUUUUUAGAUUCCACAUGUAAGUGAUAGCAUUUGAUGUUGGUGUCUCAUUAUCUGACUGAGUUCACUUAGCAUGAUUUCUUUUCUUUGAUUCUUGCUCUCUACUGCCUUUUUUCCACAUAGUAGCCAAAAUCAUCUUUAAACAAAAUCCCAUUCAGAUGUCAAAACCUUCCGGUGACUUCCUAUCACACUCACAAUAAAAAAUCCAGAACCCUUUUAGCCUACACAGUGCCAACACAAUUUGGCCCUGGCCUAAUUUUCUGGCAUCAUCUUUACCAGGCUCUCCAUACUCAAACACUGUGGUCACACAGCAGUUCUAGCUCUUAUUAAAAAUGAGCUGAUCUUGUUCCUGUCUGAAGGCCUUUAUACUAGCUCUUCCCUCUGCCUGGUAUGCUCAUGGUCCACUCCUUCUCAACAUUUAGAUCUGCGCUUAAAUGCCACUUCUGCCCAGCCCACCUGAAAUACCUCCUCAUGCCCAAGUCACUAUCCUUCUCGCCUUACUCUGUUUGCUUUUGGGGUUUUUCUCCCCACAGAACAUAGCACCAUUUGAAAUUAUACUCAUUUACUUGUUUAGAUUGUCUUCUUUUUAGAAAGUAUACUUGAUAAAAGACAGGCAUUGUUUUGUUUGAUGCAGCAUUUUCACAUUAAGAACAGUGUCUGGUACAUAAUAAAUGCUCAAUAAAUAUGAUUCCAUCACAAAAGACUUUUUAACUUUUAAGGAAAAAGAAUCUUUAGGAGUCAGUAGACUAAAAACACGAGUGAAAAUUUAUUUUCUCCUGGUUCCCUGUCUGAAAGCGAACUAAAUCUGGUUGUUAGAUAUAAUUUUCAUUAACAUUACACAGGUUCUGGUUGUGUCCAUGAAAUGAUUUCUCUACUGAGUGACUUUCCAGUUCUGAUACACAAUGCUGCGUCCUCAGUCUCGCUGGAUACUUUUGAUGAGUUGUCAAAAGGCUGAAGGAGCCAGAAAUCAGCCUAACUGGGAUACUCCCUAGUUCCCAGACUACCACAUAGUAUAUAAUACACUAAGCUGAGCUUCCAGAUGUUUCCUACCUAUCCCAGCACUGUCCCAGGUCACCCUCUCCAUUGAGAUGAUGUCGCCAUGAUACUAAAGGGAGACUCUAUCUGUUAUUGAUGGAUAUUCAUACUAUAACUUCUAAAGAAGGCCAAGGUACAACUGGCAAAUGGAAGACACUAUGGGAAGAGAGAGAGAAAAAAAAAUAUCCUUGCAUCUUCAUGUCUUGGAGAAGACGGAGUUACUGGGAUCUUCAUUUGGCCAAGGUGUCAAUACAUCGAACCAAACUGGUGACAGGAACAAGGCUGUUAGGAGAGAACUUACCGGAACUCUAUCCAGAAAACAGCAACAGAGACUGGGCACAGGGUAGGCAGAAGGGAGGAGAUGAAGGUAAGCCCCUCAGGAUCUACCAGAGAAAGACUAUUGGAAAUCCUAUAGGAGCUGCUGCCACCAAGACACAAUUUUCGUUAAUUACCUCAAUUGUGGCUUUUAUCCCUUUAAUGAGAAACACAGCUUUACUUCUAAGCAGGCAGUGAGGCUGGCAGAAAGCUGAAACCUGAAAAUCAGCAGAUACAGGGCUGCGUACAGCCCCUACUAUUGAAAUUAAGCCACAUCCAAAACACAGAGGGAGGACUCCCAAUAGCUUCAGACAGCAGCCAGCCACGCGGGGCCCUCACCAGGCACCGGAUGGACGCGCUCUCCUCUCCUCUCCUCUCUCGUCAAGAGGCCCAAAUCCCAAGUGCUCAUUUCAAUAACAUAAGAAAAUAAACACAGGGCUUAUUUAUAGUACAGGAAAGGGACUGAGGUAAAAGAACCACUCAUUCGGUAAUCCACCCUGACGGGGCCAGAUAGGAUCCAGACCCCCAAGCUCUCUGGUAACAGGGUGAGCAGAAGCUGGGGGCCGGAAGAGGGCUGGCUGCCAGCUUCGCCAGGUACAAUGUGGCAAGGGCCCUGCUUGAGGAAAGGGGGAGAGAUCCGGUGCCUCACUCCAUCCCACCCGCUCGGGUCUAAGUGCUCUUGCCAUUUCCAAUUUCUGGUUGAGGAAACUAAGGCACAGGAGUGGACUCAAAGCAGCUCAAAGGAAGGCACUAUGAGAAGAGGAAAUUCAAAAAUCCUUGCAUCCUCCAGGCACCAGACAAGAUGGUUAAGGAGGAUUCCAGAGGAACGGAAUUCUCCUUUACAGCUGGGACAAGGUCUGUGUGUAGUGCCCUAGGCCGCCGCUGGCUCGAACAUCUUACAGAGCUAGGAACUCCUGCUGGAACUGGAGCUCCUGGAGAUCAAGACUGUGUCUUAUUCAAUAGGAGGUGCUGGCACAGAGCACUUUCUGACGAAUGAAUGAGUGCAUUUCGAUGAUGAAUUGUUCAUUAGAAACAUCGAAUGACUGAAUAAAUGCUCUCUUACCUCACCUGAAUCAGUACCUGGUUGGUUUGUCUUCAGCUGUGAUGGCCAGAAAAUCAGACAUUCUUUGAGCUUAUUCCUGGGCAUAGUCGUUAAUGAUAGUUGGCAGGUGAAAAUAAAAGCUCAAAUGGAUGCAUCGCGGAGAGAAGGCUCUGCAGAGUGGGUAGUGUGGCUGGUGGUUUGGGUCUAAGACAUGUAGAUUCUGGUCCCCGCUGUCAGCAGCUGUCACUCCACAUGCAGUAACUAAGACGCCGUGGAUGAGAUGGCGCUUCACUGAGGGGACUUCUAGCAGACGCAGCUGCCCAUACCUCUGAGAGAGCCACUGGGCACCCUUCCCUUUAUUCGGCUCUGCCCAACAGCUCUGUGCCCUUCAGAGAGACUGGGCAGAAAUGCAACCAGGGGCCCAACCAGUUGGGAGCAGAAGAGAGGGAACAACUCUAUACGGAAGGGGCUGUAAAUCUGAGGGAACACAAUGCUAGACCCAGAUGCUGGCAACUCAACCACGUCCUGAAAAGGAAAGUGGCUGGAGAGCUGGAGAGCAGGCCGAACUGCAAAGGGACCUGUCCUGUGUCACCAGCAGAGGUGUGCCUGAAAUUAGAAAGCCAUGGCACAGCGCUGCCUGGGCAGCCCACACCGCCUCCCUGGGAGGCUGGACAUCACAAACCCUGCUGCGGGGACCCCUGGCAGGCAGUCUGUUGAAUGGGGGUGGAAGAGGGGGUGUGGGCAGAGCUUAUCAUGCUCCACUCCAAAAAGAGAGGGGGGACCCUUACAACUGAGAGCAGAGCCCUGCUGCCGAACUUUCCUCUGCCAGCAGCAGCUCCAUGAAGCCCGUUCAGAUCGUCAGACCAGGCCUGGCUGGCAUCAUGGGGUCAAAAGCUGUCCCCAAUGGUACUGAGAAGCAGGUAACAGUGUCAGUCACUGGCCUAGGAUGGGAGACCCGGGGCUUAGGACAGGGCUCUGGGGUGAGAUGAGCAGCCCCCACCCCACCCCCAGGUUUUCAUAUGCCUCCAGGCCCUGUGUGGGAAGCUCGAAUCGCUUCCAGAGCCUUCCUGGAUGGCAGCCGCCUGCCAAUAUGGUUGGCGCUCCUGCCAGCCUACUCCUCAGAGAGUGGCUGCAGGGGCUCGGCGCCAGCUGGGCAUUCUCCCUCUGCCUCGCUGAGCCAGGGCUGCUUGGGGAAUGGCCUGCUGUGGCUUCUGCUGCUGCAACAGACGAUGAUCCAGAGAACGGGAAAAAGCAGCCUACUCCUAAAGAUGCUACUGUCCCCGGAGCACAGACGGGUACAGUGGGGCCGGCUGGUGGGAGGUCUCCAACCCCCCAAACCUCUCUCCUCUCGGCUGGGUUCCCACGGGAUCUUAUGACUGCAGAGCCAGAACGUUCCCCAGAACUGAACCACUU